AGGCAAUGGCAUGGACGCACGACAUGUGCGUGAAUGGUCCGGCGAUUUCUCGCUUUCUGACCUUGCGGGUGCGUGGCUUCCUUUUCCCACUUGAUAUUUCGACAUGCAUGGAGAAAUUUGUGCUGGCCUGUUUUGGUAAGCAAUUAUUCUUGCAUUAAUUCUGAUUAUUGUUGUGAUUACGUGGCUAUUUACUUGCCUUAGCUAUGUCAUGUGUAUAUAUUGAGGGAGAGACGUCGUCCUUGUUACAGACUUUCUCCUCGCACUAGAACGUUGCACUACCCUCGUCUUCCACAUAUCACCGUCGACAUGCUAUCGGGGUUGGGAGAGAAGGAUCUUCGAAGCCUAUGUCCCCUUGUGUCCCUGCAUGAUGUUGGGUCGUAUGAGGUUUUUGGGAAGCGUCGUCGUGACUACUCGUUGUUCACCUGCUUCCUCUACACCGACGUCGUCAUCCUUGCUGAUCUGCUAUAUAUCUACUCUUGCGUUGUUCUAGCACCGACAACCCUACUGUAAGGAUGUUUAAGCGUAUAUUUAUUUUGUCACUAGCACUAGUAUAUGAACUACU
rnacentral:lncRNA from 1 species